UGGGUGGCGAGUGGCGGACGGGUGAGGAAUACAUCGGAAUCUACUCUGUCGUGGGGGAUAACGUAGGGAAACUUACGCUAAUACCGCAUACGACCUACGGGUGAAAGCAGGGGAUCUUCGGACCUUGCGCGAUUGAAUGAGCCGAUGUCGGAUUAGCUAGUUGGCGGGGUAAAGGCCCACCAAGGCGACGAUCCGUAGCUGGUCUGAGAGGAUGAUCAGCCACACUGGAACUGAGACACGGUCCAGACUCCUACGGGAGGCAGCAGUGGGGAAUAUUGGACAAUGGGCGCAAGCCUGAUCCAGCCAUACCGCGUGGGUGAAGAAGGCCUUCGGGUUGUAAAGCCCUUUUGUUGGGAAAGAAAUCCAGCUGGCUAAUACCUGGUUGGGAUGACGGUACCCAAAGAAUAAGCACCGGCUAACUUCGUGCCAGCAGCCGCGGUAAUACGAAGGGUGCAAGCGUUACUCGGAAUUACUGGGCGUAAAGCGUGCGUAGGUGGUCGUUUAAGUCCGUUGUGAAAGCCCUGGGCUCAACCUGGGAACUGCAGUGGAUACUGGGCGACUAGAGUGUGGUAGAGGGUAGCGGAAUUCCUGGUGUAGCAGUGAAAUGCGUAGAGAUCAGGAGGAACAUCCAUGGCGAAGGCAGCUACCUGGACCAACA
rnacentral:rRNA from 1 species